GAUGAACGCUGGCGGCGUGCCUAAUACAUGCAAGUCGAGCGAACGGACGAGAAGCUUGCUUCUCUGAUGUUAGCGGCGGACGGGUGAGUAACACGUGGAUAACCUACCUAUAAGACUGGGAUAACUUCGGGAAACCGGAGCUAAUACCGGAUGAUAUUUUGAACCGCAUGGUUCAAAAGUGAAAGACGGUCUUGCUGUCACUUAUAGAUGGAUCCGCGCUGCAUUAGCUAGUUGGUAAGGUAACGGCUUACCAAGGCAACGAUGCAUAGCCGACCUGAGAGGAGGAUCGCCCACACUGGAACGGACACCGGGCCAAGCCCCCUCCGGGAGGGAGCAGUGGGGAUUCUUCGGCAUGGGGCGAAGGCCUGACGGAGCACCCCGGAGGGAGGGAUAAGGGUGUUGGGUUCGAAAAACUUUUUUAUGGGGAAAAAACAGAUGUGUAAGUAACGGUGCACUUCUGGAGGGUACCAAAUAAAAAACCCCCGGCAACCUACGCG
rnacentral:rRNA from 1 species